CUGGCUAACCAGAAGCAGCUUCAGCACUUCUUGGGAUUCCCCAACUUCUAUUGAUGGUUCAUAAGAAACUACAGCCAGGUAGCAUCAGCACUCACUCGGCUUACCUAUCCCAAAGUUCUUUUUGUUUGAUCUGCAGAAGUCAACUCAGCCUUCAAGAAGUCAAAGGAGAGAUUCCCCUACCUGUUCAGAUUCCGCUCAAUCCCAGCCUCUAGUUUAUUGUGGCCUCAUCCAGCUCCAGAGUAGGUGCAGUAGUCUCACAACAAUCUGCUCCAAGAUGGAUGUGAGGGAAUAUAUUGCAGCCUGUACCACAUUUGUGUGUAACAAAACCAUGUGUCUACUACCAGAAACUCCCCACAGCAACUGAAACAGCUAAUCUGGUAGUUGAGCAUGAUUUCAUCUUUUCUGACCUCUGUACACUCCAGCUGAACCCACGGCUACAGCCCGGAUUGCGGGUGAUCACUCUGCAAUGUCUGUCUGUCGGAUCCUGGAUAUCAGUCAUUUGGACUGAGGCCUCCAAUAUGUCAUCAAUUAGGAAAGAUAUGGCCCCGAGGAGAGGACUUGGUAUCCCCGCUCACUGAUGUCGGAACCCACACUCAUUUUGAACUUCCACACAUAGGAUUGGGACAGUGCCCUCCGGACCUGCUACCUAUUUCCUGUUUUGGAGUCGGUGUGUGGAGUUACGUGGCGGAGCACAAGUGUGUGAGAGACCUUCUCUUUUUUGAACCUCCCUUGGACACCUGCAAGCCCACUUGAAUACCCGUGCUGAACUGAGAGUCCACUCCUUACCUGUGACACUACUACUGUAUGACGUCAUAUAAAUUUUCACUUAUUAUAAAGCUAAAAAUAAAUAUUUGG